rnacentral:tRNA from 1 species
ACCAGAGUGGUGCAGUGGUUUGAGUGUUGGACUAUGACUCUGGAGACCAGGGUUGGAAUCCCUGUUCAGCUA